AGAGUUUGAUCCUGGCUCAGAUUGAACGCUGGCGGCAGGCUUAACACAUGCAAGUCGAGCGGUAGCACAAGGGAGCUUGCUCCCUGGGUGACGAGCGGCGGACGGGUGAGUAAUGCCUGGGAAACUGCCUGAUGGAGGGGGAUAACUACUGGAAACGGUAGCUAAUACCGCAUAACGUCGCAAGACCAAAGAGGGGGACCUUCGGGCCUCUUGCCAUCAGAUGUGCCCAGAUGGGAUUAGCUAGUAGGUGGGGUAAUGGCUCACCUAGGCGACGAUCCCUAGCUGGUCUGAGAGGAUGACCAGCCACACUGGAACUGAGACACGGUCCAGACUCCUACGGGAGGCAGCAGUGGGGAAUAUUGCACAAUGGGCGCAAGCCUGAUGCAGCCAUGCCGCGUGUGUGA
rnacentral:rRNA from 1 species